UUCAUGGCCCAAAAAUCGAUCCAGUGCUUCCAUCAGGUAAUCCAUCACACUAUAGUUGCAUGAAGCAUGAAGGGAAGCAGUAGAUUCAGGUGCAGGAGUGAAGCAUUUGUUUUUCAAAAUGUUAGACAGCUUGGAAGCUGGAGCAUGAGCAUGAGUAUGAGGUGUGAUUCAGAGCAGGAGCUACACCUGGGUAGAAGGUUCGUGCAAUGGAAGGCCAUACAUAUGAGUGGCCAUGAACGCUUGAUAAGUGGACCCACUUGAUUUCUGGGCCACGGGUUGCUCAUAGUCUGAACUGCCAGAUGGAUGGUCCUGACUGCAAAACAGGGUAAUCUACAGUUGCCAAGGUAAAGCAGUUUUCUCAGUUACAGCUGCAUUUGGAGAUGCUGAGUCAUGUGAAAAUUCUUGCAAUUAGAGCAGGUUCAAGGAUUGCUUUUCAGGGACCCUCAUUGCAGAAUGCAACUCUAGAAAUGCUAUCGCUUGGGUGUCAGAAGAAAGCUGAGCGCCGUAGCAAGGUUUGAAGUACUGCCUGAAAAUGUAUCGAUUUCGCUUCCAAAAAGUACUGAUGAUUCACAUCAGUAACCUCCCAAUUCACUCGUUAAAAGCCCAUAUCUUAGGGGUACGAGUAUUUGAAAUGUUCAUUAACA